UGGGGAAUAUUAGUAAUGGGCGAAAGCCUGAACUAGCAACGCCGCGUGUGCGAAGAAGGCCUUCGGGUUGUAAAGCACUUUUUGAGAGGAUGAGGAAGGACGGUACUCUCAGAGUAAGUCUCGGCUAACUACGUGCCAGCAGCCGCGGUAACACGUAGGAGGCGAACGUUAUCCGGAUUUACUGGGCGUAAAGCGCGUGUAGGUGGUUUGGUAAGUAGGGCGUGAAAGCUCCUGGCUCAACUGGGAGAGGCCGUUCUAAACUGCCGAACUAGAGGAUGGUAGAGGGAGGUGGAAUUCCGGGUGUAGCGGUGGAAUGCGCAGAUAUCCGGAGGAACACCAGUGGCGAAAGCGGCCUCCUGGACCAUUCCUGACACUCAGACGCGAAAGCUAGGGUAGCAAACGGG
rnacentral:rRNA from 1 species